CCCAGACAGCCAGGAUGUUGGCUUAGAAGCAGCCAUCAUUUAAAGAAAGCGUAAUAGCUCACUGGUCGAGUCGGCCUGCGCGGAAGAUGUAACGGGGCUAAACCAUGCACCGAAGCUGCGGCAGCGACGCUGAUGCGUUGUUGGGUAGGGGAGCGUUCUGUAAGCCUGUGAAGGUGUGUCGUGAGGCAUGCUGGAGGUAUCAGAAGUGCGAAUGCUGACAUAAGUAACGAUAAAGCGGGUGAAAAGCCCGCUCGCCGGAAGACCAA
rnacentral:rRNA from 3 species